rnacentral:rRNA from 1 species
UUGGAGGGCAAGUCUGGUGCCAGCAGCCGCGGUAAUUCCAGCUCCAAUAGCGUAUAUUAAAGUUGUUGCGGUUAAAAAGCUCGUAGUUGAAUUUCGGGAUCAAUAUGUCGGUCGUGCUUCGGUACGUACUGGUAUCAUUGGUUUCUCCCUUCUGACGAACCUUGAUGUCAUUAAUUUGGUGUCUUGGGGAAUCAGGACUGUUACUUUGAAAAAUUAGAGUGUUUAAAGCAGGCUCACGCUUGAAUACAUUAGCAUGGAAUAAUGAAAUAGGACGUUUAAUUCUAUUUUGUUGGUUUCUAGGAUUGACGUAAUGAUUAAUAGGGAUAGUUGGGGGCAUUAGUAUUCAAUUGUCAGAGGUGAAAUUCUUGGAUUUAUUGAAGACUAACUACUGCGAAAGCAUUUGCCAAGGAUGUUUUCAUUAAUCAAGAACGAAAGUUAGGGGAUCGAAGACGAUCAGAUACCGUCGUAGUCUUAACCAUAAACUAUGCCGACUAGGGAUCGGAUGAUGUUAAUUUUUUAAUGACUCAUUCGGCGCCUUAC